rnacentral:rRNA from 1 species
AACGAACGCUGGCGGCAUGCCUAACACAUGCAAGUCGAACGAACCCUUCGGGGUUAGUGGCGCACGGGUGCGUAACGCGUGGGAAUCUGCCCUUUGCUUCGGAAUAACAGUUAGAAAUGACUGCUAAUACCGGAUGAUGUCUUCGGACCAAAGAUUUAUCGGCAAAGGAUGAGCCCGCGUAGGAUUAGGUAGUUGGUGGGGUAAAGGCCUACCAAGCCGACGAUCCUUAGCUGGUCUGAGAGGAUGAUCAGCCACACUGGGACUGAGACACGGCCCAGACUCCUACGGGAGGCAGCAGUGGGGAAUAUUGGACAAUGGGCGCAAGCCUGAUCCAGCAAUGCCGCGUGAGUGAUGAAGGCCUUCGGGUCGUAAAGCUCUUUUACCAGGGAUGAUAAUGACAGUACCUGGAGAA